rnacentral:rRNA from 1 species
UACGUAGGGAGCAAGCGUUGUCCGGAUUUACUGGGUGUAAAGGGAGCGUAGGCGGCAGUGCAAGUCAGAAGUGAAAGCCCGCAGCUCAACUGCGGGACUGCUUUUGAAACUGCCAGGCUAGAGUGUCGGAGAGGUAAGCGGAAUUCCUGGUGUAGCGGUGAAAUGCGUAGAUAUCAGGAGGAACACCAGUGGCGAAGGCGGCUUACUGGACUGUAACUGACGUUGAGGCUCGAAAGCGUGGGGAGCAAACAGG